GAAGCAAAGGCUGAGGGCAUCUCCACCAUGGCCUGGGUUCUGCUCUUCCUCACCUUCCUGGCUCACUGUACAGGCUCUUGGUCCCAAUAUACGCCGACUCAGCCAAACUCUAUGUUAGGGAAUCCAGGACAGAAGGUGACCAUCUCCUGGAAACGCAGCAGUGGCAACAUUGGAAACAACUAUGUUUCCUGGUACCAGCAGUACCCAGGCAGUGCCCCCAGGAAUGUGAUCUAUGCUGAUAACAUAAGGCCCUCUGGGGUUCCUGAUCGGUUUUCUGGCUCCAUUGACAGCUCCUCUAAUGCUGCCUCCCUGAGCAUCUCUGGGCUGCAGCCUGAGGAUGAGGCUGACUACUACUGUCAGUCUGGUUAUGAUAGCUACUAUAUGCACAUUGCUUCAAAACAAGGAGGAAGUGAGACCAAAACUCCUCAUAGCCCUCCCUGCCUUGACAACUUCCUAUUUCCUCACCAGGUCUGUCAUGUCAGCUGUCCAAAUAUCUGUGCCAAAUUCUUUGUAUUUUAA